rnacentral:rRNA from 1 species
UACGGGGGGGGCAAGCGUUGUUCGGAAUUACUGGGCGUAAAGUGUGCGCAGGCGGCCGAGCAAGUCGAGUGUGAAAGCCCCGAGCUUAACUUGGGAACUGCGCUCGAAACUACUUGGCUAGAGUGUGGCAGAGGGAGGUGGAAUUCCACGUGUAGCGGUGAAAUGCGUAGAGAUGUGGAGGAACACCGAUGGCGAAGGCAGCCUCCUGGGCCAACACUGACGCUCAUGCACGAAAGCGUGGGGAGCAAACGGG